GGUAACAGGACACAAUGGAGACAAAAACUAUACUUAUAGUGGUAGUGGUAAUGAAAAUGACAUAAGGAAAAUCACGCUGCAUAGGAAACCACAAAUUUUGACUUCGUUGAUGGAACAGCUUGCGGAAAAGCUAGGUCUUCCAUACAAGUUUUAUCUUCAGUAUGAAGAUGCUGAUUUUAACAAUGCACUGGUUAACCUCACAGACAUUGCAGAUUUACCUGAAAGGCCCACCUUAAAGGUGAUUGCUCUUGCAGCAUCUCCUACACCAAGUACAGCUGACACAGAUAUUGUGUCUUUGACUUCAGAAGAAGGUUUGUCUAAUGUACACCAAGCUUAGUGGCCAGAGACCUUUGAAAUCCCCAAUUUUCCUGUAGACAUUAAGUACAGAUUGCACCAAGGAAAUUUUCCCUUUAUGAAAGACCAGACAUAUAUGCACGCUCCAUGAAAUCCUUGAAAAACUUGCUAAGUCAAUGUACAACUUCAAAGCAUAUCCCUCAGAUGACGAAUUCAAUAAUGUUGCAUCUGAACUAGUCAAAAAACAUUCAUGCCUUAUUGAGCCAGGUUCCUCGACUGGAUGGAACGAUUGGAAGAACAGCCUCAAAUUUAAAAUGGGGAACUACAGAACGAAGCUACGCCGAGCUGGAUGCACAGAUGUUCUUAUAAAUGCAGGGAAAAGGGGAAGCAAAGAUUCCGUGAGAAAUGUUAAAAGACUUAAACGAUUUGAAAUCAAUUUUCUUCCCAAUUGUCCUGCUAAUGAGGAUGACUGCAGCAUGCAAUCUAAACGCUUACAACUUGUGGAGGAAAUGAAGAAAAGUCAUCCAAGUUCCACCUUGAUAUCACAGCACAUGGAUUACACUUUCUCCUUGAGAAGAAAAGAUAUUGUAGAAAAGGAGCCUCUAGUAAAAGAGACUUUCCAAAGAUGGCCAUCACUUUUCACAGAAAGCCAGAUCAAUUCAGAUUUUAUUUGAAUUACAAGCAAAAACCCUAAGCAAGAAUUGUUUUCUGCACUUAAUAAAAAUACUUCACAAUUUCUGGACAUUUUUAAGAGCAAGAAAGUGGCUGUUGGAAAAAGACUCUGAAUUUCUUCAGCAAAUUAAACCUGUGAGCACUGACAUCACUGCAAAGCGCACAGCAGUUCUUCGUGGCCUUCCACUUAUUCUUGGAGAAGAAGCCUCUAA